rnacentral:lncRNA from 1 species
CACACACUGAACACACACUGAUCACACACUGAACACAGUGACGCUGCAGCUGCUGUUGUGACUCCUCGCCUGUCGGUGGCGCCAGAGGUUGUUCCGCUGUGUUGUUGUGAUUCCUUCAGCUUCCUGUUUCCUGUGUUCUCUUGUCAGGUGUGUUCCAUCCGUCGUCUCUGGGAAGCCUGCGCUGCCCUUCACAUUAAAACCCACUGGGUCAAAGCAGCACCGUUCUCUCGUCCACACGUGGACGGGUUGUGGCUCAUCAACAGAAUUCUACACAAUGAAACAACCGGUUCUCCAGAGUACAGUCAUGUGAGCAGGAUGGCGAGGCGUCAUGGAGAACACGGUUGGAUCUUGGAUUGA